rnacentral:rRNA from 1 species
GAUGAACGCUGGCGGCGUGCCUAAUACAUGCAAGUCGAGCGAACGGACGAGAAGCUUGCUUCUCUGAUGUUAGCGGCGGACGGGUGAGUAACACGUGGAUAACCUACCUAUAAGACUGGGAUAACUUCGGGAAACCGGAGCUAAUACCGGGUAAUAUUUUGAACCGCAUGGUUCAAAAGUGAAAGACAGUCUUGCUGUCACUUAUGGAUGGAUCCGCGCUGCAUUAGCUAGUUGGUAAGGUAACGGCUUACCAAGGCAACGAUGCAUAGCCGACCUGAGAGGGUGAUCGGCCACACUGGAACUGAGACACGGUCCAGACUCCUACGGGAGGCAGCAGUAGGGAAUCUUCCGCAAUGGGCGAAAGCCUGACGGAGCAACGCCGCGUGAGUGAUGAAGGUCUUCGGAUCGUAAAACUCUGUUAUUAGGGAAGAACAUAUGUGUAAGUAACUGUGCACAUCUUGACGGUACCUAAUCAGAAAGCCACGGCUAACUACGUG